rnacentral:rRNA from 1 species
UACGUAGGUGGCAAGCGUUGUCCGGAUUUAUUGGGUUUAAAGGGUGCGUAGGCGGCCCUGUAAGUCAGUGCUGAAAUAUCCCGGCUUAACCGGGAGGGUGGCAUUGAUACUGAUGGGCUUGAGUAGAGUCGAGGUAGGCGGAAUUGACGGUGUAGCGGUGAAAUGCUUAGAUAUCGUCAAGAACACCGAUAGUGUAGACAGCUUACUAGGCUCAAACUGACGCUGAGGCACGAAAGUGUGGGGAUCAAACAGG